UGGUAGAUUAGACUGUGGGGUGAUGGUCAGGCUGGUAGGUUAGACUGUGGGGUGAUGGUCAGGCUGGUAGACUGCAACAGGUGGGGUGAUGGUCCGGCUGGUAGAUUAGACUGUGGGGUGAUGGUCCGGCUGGUAGAUUAGACUGUGGGGUGAUGGUCAGGCUGGUAGAUUAGACUGUGGGGUGAUGGUCAGGCUGGUAGAUUACUGUGAGGUGAUGGUCAGGCUGGUAGACUGCAACAGGUGGGGUGAUGGUCCGGCUGGUAGAUUAGACUGUGGGGUGAUGGUCCGGCUGGUAGAUUAGACUGUGGGUUGAUGGUCCGGCUGGUAGAUUAGACUGUGGGGUGAUGGUCCGGCUGGUAGAUUAGACUGUGGGGUGAUGGUAAGGCUGGUAGAUUAGACUGCUACAGGUGGGGUGAUGGUCAGGCUGGUAGAUUAGACUGCUACAGGUGGUGUGAUGGUCAGGCUGGUAGAUUAGACUGCUACAGGUGGUGUGAUGGUCAGGCUGGUAGAUUAGACUGCUACAGGUGGGGUGAUGGUCAGGCUGGUAGAUUAGACUGCUACAGGUGGUGUGAUGGUCAGGCUGGUAGAUUAGACUGCUACAGGUGGUGUGAUGGUCAGGCUGGUGGAUUAGACUGCUACAGGUGGUGUGAUGGUCAGGCUGGUGGAUUAGACUGCUACAGGUGGUGUGAUGGUCAGGCUGGUGGAUUAGACUGCUACAGGUGGUGUGAUGGUCAGGCUGGUGGAUUAGACUGCUACAGGUGGUGUGAUGGUCAGGCUGGUGGAUUAGACUGUGGGGUGAUGGUCAGGCUGGUGGAUUAGACUGCUACAGGUGGUGUGAUGGUCAGGCUGGUAGAUUAGACUGUGGGGUGAUGGUCAGACUGGUGGAUUAGACUGUGGGGUGAUGGUCAGGCUGGUGGAUUAGACUGGGGUGAUGGUCAGGCUGGUGGAUUAGACUGGGGGGUGAUGGUCAGGCUGGUGGAUUAGACUGUGGGGUGAUGGUCAGACUGGUGGAUUAGACUGUGGGGUGAUGGUCAGGCUGGUAGGUUAGACUGCUACAGGUGGGGUGAUGGUCAGACUGGUGGAUUAGACUGUGGGGUGAUGGUCAGACUGGUGGAUUAGACUGUGGGGUGAUGGUCAGGCUGGUAGGUUAGACUGCUACAGGUGGGGUGAUGAUCAGGCUGGUAGAUUAGACUGCUACAGGUGGUGUGAUGGUCAGGCUGGUGGAUUAGACUGCUACAGGUGGUGUGAUGGUCAGGCUGGUAGAUUAGACUGCUACAGGUGGGCUGAUGAUCAGGCUGGUAGAUUAGACUGCUACAGGUGGGGUGAUGGUCAGGCUGGUAGAUUAGACUGCUACAGGUGGGGUGAUGGUCAGGCUGGUAGAUUAGACUGCUACAGGUGGGGUGAUGGUCAGGCUGGUGGAUUAGACUGCUACAGGUGGUGUGAUGGUCAGGCUGGUAGAUUAGACUGCUACAGGUGGGGUGAUGGUCAGGCUGGUGGAUUAGACUGCUACAGGUGGUGUGAUGGUCAGGCUGGUGGAUUAGACUGCUACAGGUGGUGUGAUGGUCAGGCUGGUAGAUUAGACUGCUACAGGUGGUGUGAUGGUCAGGCUGGUAGAUUAGACUGCUACAGGUGGGCUGAUGAUCAGGCUGGUAGAUUAGACUGCUACAGGUGGGGUGAUGGUCAGGCUGGUAGAUUAGACUGCUACAGGUGGUGUGAUGGUCAGGCUGGUGGAUUAGACUGCUACAGGUGGGCUGAUGAUCAGGCUGGUAGAUUAGACUGCUACAGGUGGGCUGAUGAUCAGGCUGGUAGAUUAGACUGCUACAGGUGGGGUGAUGGUCAGGCUGGUAGAUUAGACUGCUACAGGCGGGGUGAUGGUCAGGCUGGUAGAUUAUAUAUAAUAAUAAUAUAUGCCAUUUAGCAGACGCUUUUAUCCAAAGCGACUUACAGUCAUGUGUGCAUACAUUCUACGUAUGGGUGGUCCCGGGAAUUGAACCCACUACCCUGGCGUUACAAGCGCCAUGCUCUACCAACUGUGCUACAGAAGGACCACAGAAGGACCAGAUUAGACUGCUACAGGUGGUGUGAUGGUCAGGCUGGUAGAUUAGACUGCUACAGGUGGUGUGAUGGUCAGGCUGGUAGAUUAGACUGCUACAGGUGGGGUGAUGGUCAGGCUGGUGGAUUAGACUGCUACAGGUGGUGUGAUGGUCAGGCUGGUAGAUUAGACUGCUACAGGUGGGCUGAUGAUCAGGCUGGUAGAUUAGACUGCUACAGGUGGGGUGAUGGUCAGGCUGGUAGAUUAGACUGCUACAGGUGGUGUGAUGGUCAGGCUGGUGGAUUAGACUGCUACAGGUGGGCUGAUGAUCAGGCUGGUAGAUUAGACUGCUACAGGUGGGCUGAUGAUCAGGCUGGUAGAUUAGACUGCUACAGGUGGGGUGAUGGUCAGGCUGGUAGAUUAGACUGCUACAGGCGGGGUGAUGGUCAGGGUGGUAGAUUAGACUGCUACAGGUGGGGUGAUGGUCAGGCUGGUAGA